CCAAUAGCGUAUAUUAAAGUUGUUGCAGUUAAAAAGCUCGUAGUUGAAUUUCGGAAUCAGUAUGUCGGUCGUGCCUCCGGUAUGUACUGGCGUCACUGGUUCCUCCCUUCUGACGAACCAUCAUGCUAUUAAUUUAGUGUGGUGGGAAAUCAGGACUGUUACUUUGAAAAAAUUAGAGGGUUUAAAGCAGGCUCACGCUUGAAUACAUUAGCAUGGAAUAAUGAAAUCGGACGUUGAUCCUAUUUUGUUGGUUUCUAGGAUUGACGUAAUGAUUAAUAGGGAUAGUUGGGGGCAUUAGUAUUCAAUUGUCAGAGGUGAAAUUCUUGGAUUUAUUGAAGACUAACUACUGCGAAAGCAUUUGCCAAGGAUGUUUUCAUUAAUCAAGAACGAAAGUUAGGGGAUCGAAGACGAUCAGAUACCGUCGUAGUCUUAACCAUAAACUAUGCCGACUAGGGAUCGGAUGAUGUUAAUUUUUUAAUGACUCAUUCGGCGCCUUACG
rnacentral:rRNA from 1 species